CUUAACUGAGGUGCCCUAGACUGCAUCUUUCUUUGGAAAAAAGGGAAGAGGAUAUCAUAAAUUCGGGAACUUCCUCAGGCUUCUUCUGUUAGCUUAUAAACUAUGGUAGCAUUUUCAUAUGACAUACGAGAACAAUUAUCUCCUCCUCUACUUUAUCCCUAUUGCUUAAUCCUUUGGCUUUUCAGUAACACCCAAAGACAACCAGUCAUUCUCUCCAGUGAGUCUCAGAGUUAAAAAUUUAGCUGUCUUCAAUAAGAAUGAUACAUUGGACUUUGGGGACUCGGGGGCUCGGGGGUAAGGGGAAGGCUAAUGAGGGACAAAAGACUACACAUUGGGUACAGUGUACAUUGCUCGGACGCACCAAAAUCUCAGAAAUCACCACUAAAAAGCUUAUUCAUGUAACCAAACGCCACCUGUUACCCCCCAAAAUCGAUGGAAAUAAAACAAUAAUUUAAAAGAGCACAUACCCCCCCAAAACAUAGUUGACCUCAGCUUAAAAAAAACUAACAUACAUUUGUUAUUUUAAAAAAUAUUGCAUAGUUUAUUUGCAUUCAUUGGUCAGCAUCCUCAGUUAUGUCUGCUUUGAAAGAAAAAUCCGCUGAGGUUUUAAGUUAAUGAUCCAAGAUAUCCAAUUAAGAUUUUCAGCUUUGAAAAAUAUGGAAAUACGGUACAGCUGUGUACUGGAUGUGGUGUGCUACUGUUAAGUUCCAGCACUUUAAGGAACGUUUCAGGAGUGACUAAUACACUAAUUCAUUACCAGAGGUCACAGAGCUGUCAUAAUUGACAGUGUUCUUUGAGUACGAAAAACCGGAAAACGAUGCAACUUCCAAAGCACGGAGGAUGGAGAAUAGUAUUGGAAAGUAACUUUUCUGCUGGGCUCAGGAGUUUUUAUAUGCUCAAGCUAUAGACAACUGUACCAACGCAAUAAAGACUAAUGUAAUCUAACUAUUCUAUAAACGGCCACACCUACCCAGACUAACUGGAAAACAAUAAUUUAUAACUGGAAUUAAAUAGUUGCUGUUCUUUAAUUAAUGAGAUCGGUGUUCUUGAAAAGCUACAGCGUACGAACUCUACCCUGGUCCAUAUCUGCUUUUUAAAGCCUUCCCCAGAACCGCUCUCACUUCAGCCUUGGUGCCUUCCCGGAUAUACCCUCCAGAGGCUUCCCUGGUCCCCAUCCUGGACGUCAGCCUCUGCACCUAGAGGCCGGCUUAGAGGGAAGACGGGCAGAGGCGGGGGAGACACGAGAGAGAGAAACGGUCAAUUCCUCCUUAACUCCGGGCCCCCUCGCGGGCCUCACCCCUCCUCCCGGGGGCUGAGAUUGGAGAGGAAGUGGGAAGGCUCCAAUCUGUUCCUCACUCCAGCGCCCUCAUGCCCCCACCCUUCUCUUCAGCUCGGGGCUUCGGCGCGCCUCGUCCCCGCCCUUCGCCCCGGGAGAGGAGCGGGCGGCGUGGGAGGGCUCGCGGAGAAAGGCCCAGGGGAGUGGACGACCUCCGCCCGGCAGCCACAUCCUCGGCAGCAGAGACCCGGAGCCAUCCGCCCGCGGGCGAGCCAGGCCCGAGGGCAGCCCCGGAGACCGCGGUGGCCGGAUGCGCGGGCGCGUCACUUCCGGGCGGUGCAGCGGCGGCCGCUUGGAAGAUGGCUGCGCCCUGUGGCUCGGAGCUGCCCGCCAACUCGCCGCUAAAAAUUCCGAAGAUGGAGGUGCUUUCCCCGGCUUCUCCUGGUGGCCUGAGCGACGGAAAUCCAUCGCUGUCCGACCCUUCCACGCCUCGGGGUGCCUCCCCGCUCGGGCCGGGCAGUGCGGCGGGCUCGGGGGCAGCGGCGUCCGGGGGUCUCGGGCUGGGGCUGGGGGGCCGCAGCGCCGCCUCGUCCUCGGUCUCCUUCUCCCCUGGUGGCGGCGGUGGCGGGGCUGCGGCAGCCGCCGCCGCCGCCUGCCGGGGCAUGUCGUGGACGCCAGCCGAGACGAACGCGCUCAUCGCAGUGUGGGGCAACGAGCGGCUGGUGGAGGCGCGGUACCAGCAGCUGGAGGGAGCCGGCACGGUGUUCGGCAGCAAGGCCCCCGGGCCAGCCAUGUACGAGCGCGUGUCCCGGGCCCUGGCCGAGCUGGGCUACGAGCGGACCCCGUCCCAGUGCCGGGAGCGCAUCAAGCUGGUUCGAUGCCCAGAACUGAAUGCUGUGCUCCAGCUGUGGCCUCACCGGUGCUGAAUAGAGAGGAAGAGCCACCUUCAUAGCUUACAUACCCUUCGCAGGUGUUACAGUCGGGUGAAAGAACAUGGUGUUGGGAAAAGAAAGAGCAGUUACACAUUUGAACAGUUGGAACAGGUGUUUGGUCAGGGAGGAUGGGAUGCUCAGCCCUGCCAGCCUGUACUUAUUAACAGUAGUGGCUUGUACCAGGAGCUGGAGUCAGAUGGCAGCACUAUGGAGGACUAUUCACAGGAGGACUGGGGAAACCACAGUCAGGAUCUCCAUGGCUAUCCAACAGAUCAGGAAUUGGAUGAAAUACCUGUCACAAAGAGAACAUUAAAAAUAAAACAAGAGUCUUCUGAAGAAGCACAGAAGAGAGACAUCAUGCAGAAUAUUGUACAGAUUUUGGAAUCGGUACAGUUGAAAUGGGAACUUUUUCAGAGCUGGACAGACUUUUCAAGGCUCCAUCUUUCUAAUAAACUGGCCAUUUUUGGAAUUGGUUAUAACACCCGUUGGAAAGAGGAUAUCCGUUACCAUUAUGCUGAGAUCAGCUCCCAGGUGCCCCUUGGCAAGCGACUUCGGGAGUACUUCAACUCUGAGAAGCCUGAAGGACGGAUCAUUAUGACCCGAGUGCAGAAAAUGAACUGGAAAAAUGUUUACUACAAAUUUUUAGAGAUCACUAUUAGCGAAGCUAGGUGCUUGGAGCUGCACAUGGAAAUUGACUGGAUACCCAUUGCCCACUCCAAACCAACUGGUGGGAAUGUUGUUCAAUAUUUAUUGCCUGGGGGUAUUCCUAAAAGCCCAGGCCUUUAUGCCAUUGGCUAUGAAGAAUGUAUUGAGAGGCCCCUCUCACCACACGUGGAGCAACGUUCCCUGGACCCAGGAAAAGAGGGCCGGGUUGACCUGGAAACCCUUUCAGCACAAGCCUCAUUACAGGUGGAAAUAGAAGCCACCCGAAUUAUCUAUUGCUACCUCGGGAUUGCUGAGGUCAGGACUCUACAGCAGUGCUUAUUUUUACAUUUCCAAGCGAAUACCAAAACCUUCAGCAAAGAUUGGGUUGGUAUUAACGGGUUUUUGUCUCAGAACUGUAUCGUGGAUCCCGGAGUUUCCCCCAAAUCCAUCUACAUCAAAUUUGUAGAAGUAGAGAGGGAUUUUCUUUCCGCAGGCUCUUUAGUUGAGUGCCUGGAAAAAGCCAUUGGAUACCCCUUAAAAUUUAACAACUGAAUGUCAUCCUUCAUAAGGAUUUGGGCUCUUAGCUCCUUCUUCUCUACUCACUUCCCAUUACCCGGACCACCCCUCAUCCAGAUGCCGCCAUCAGACUCUUCAUGGAAACCCUUUCUUCAAUUGGGCCAGUACGACUUCUAAGGAAUCAUAGUAGACUUGGGCCAGAAAAAACAGACCUCACCUGAAAAUGCUCAUUUUGAGCAAGCAAGAUAUAUAGCGAACUUGCAUGGUGGGUCAGCUAUUUCUUUUUUAAAAACAGAAAAACAAUUUUUAAAUGGAUUUUAGAGCCCUAAUAUAAACAAAUGUAGGUACAUUCCAUAUUGGACAAAACUUAUACUUUGAGUUUCAUAUGAAAUUGAAAAAUUGUAUUUUUUUCACAGUGUUUCAUUUUUACACAUCUCUAUGUCUCUAUAUAAGUAAUAUUUACAACCCUGAAUAAAUAAGCAAUAGAUAAUGGCAAGUUAAAUCUUGAUUCACAGUUAAAAAGACUGUUUUUCAAUAUCACCCUUAGCUACUAUUGUAUAUAAUUUAGAUUUUCAUUUUUUUCACCAACCAAGUGUUUUGCUAUUUCCAAUCAGUAUUGCUUGCAAAGACCUUUGUUUCUGUGAUGUACCAACUUUACAGUUGUGUUGCCAUUUAAACCUUUUUUUUUAAAAAAAAAAAUUAAAGUAAUUCCUGGCCCCUUGC